rnacentral:snoRNA from 1 species
CCCUUCUCAGGAUGGCACCUGGAGAGCUUCCAGGACUCUAUCAGUCUCAGCUAAGGGAGGGAGAGUCAAGCAGAGGCAUAUCCAUUCCAUUUCUAGCUGGGGCAGUGACUAGUGAGUGGAAGGCAAUCUGCUACAAGG